GACGUAGGGCGCGAGCGUUGUCCGGAUUUAUUGGGCGUAAAGAGCUCGUAGGCGGCUUGUUGCGUCGACUGUGAAAACCCGCGGCUUAACUGCGGGCUUGCAGUUGAUACGGGCAGGCUAGAGUUCGGUAGGGGAGACUGGAAUUCCUGGUGUGGCGGUGAAAUGCGCAGAUAUCAGGAGGAACACCGGUGGCGAAGGCGGGUCUCUGGGCCGAUACUGACGCUGAGGAGCGAAAGCGUGGGGAGCGAACAGG
rnacentral:rRNA from 1 species